UCAACCUUCAAACCCCGUGUUUGUAGUUGGGUCAAGUUUCGUUGAGAAACCGACCUCAAAGAUAAUGAUGGAGUCUGGGAAUGAUCCUCGAUGCGAUGAGCUUUUUCAAAGCAUGCAUUGAUCCCAUCAUCUCAGCCUGUCGUCCCUCUUUAAUUUUUAAAA
rnacentral:misc_RNA from 1 species